rnacentral:sRNA from 1 species
AAACUCGGGUUUAUAACAGCAAAAGUAUCUAACAAAAACAACAAAAAAAAUACCAAAAAGGCGGUUUCAAAAGCGUUA